AAAGUCGUAACAAGGUUUCCGUAGGUGAACCUGCGGAAGGAUCAUUAUUGAAUAAACUUGCACAGGCUGUUGCUGGCCCUCUCUGGAGGGUAUGUGCACGCUUGUCAUCUUUAUCUCUCCAACUGUGCACAUAUUGUAGACCUGGAGCUCUUGUUGAUUCAUUUCGAGUUGGGACUGCUGUGCUUUGUAAAUCAUGGUCGGCUUUCCCUUUUCAUUUUCAGGUCUAUGUCAUUUUCACAACCUCUUGAAUGCGUUUAGAAUGUUAAACCAGGUGCUUUUGUACCUAUAAAGUUAAAUAUACAACUUUCAGCAACGGAUCUCUUGGCUCUC
rnacentral:misc_RNA from 1 species